GAUGAACGCUAGCUACAGGCUUAACACAUGCAAGUCGAGGGGCAGCGCAGUGUAGCAAUACAUGGGCGGCGACCGGCGCACGGGUGCGUAACGCGUAUCCAACCUUCCCGUUACUCAGGGAUAGCCUUCCGAAAGGGAGAUUAAUACCUGAUGGUGUUCAAAUUCCGCAUGUUAUUUGAACUAAAGAUUUAUCGGUAACGGAUGGGGAUGCGUGACAUUAGGUAGAUGGCGGGGUAACGGCCCACCAUGCCUACGAUGUCUAGGGGUUCUGAGAGGAAGGUCCCCCACACUGGAACUGAGACACGGUCCAGACUCCUACGGGAGGCAGCAGUGAGGAAUAUUGGUCAAUGGUCGGAAGAUUGAACCAGCCAAGUAGCGUGAAGGAUGAAGGUUCUAUGGAUUGUAAACUUCUUUUAUACGGGAAUAAAACCUCCCACGUGUGGGAGCUUGUAUGUACCGUAUGAAUAAGCAUCGGCUAACUCCGUG
rnacentral:rRNA from 1 species